rnacentral:rRNA from 1 species
UCUGGAAACUNUCUGACUUGAGUGCAGAAGGGGAGAGUGGAAUUCCAUGUGUAGCGGUGAAAUGCGUAGAUAUAUGAGGANCACCAGUGGCGAAAGCGGCUCUCUGGUCUGUCACUGACGCUGAGGCUCGAAAGCGUGGGUAGCGAACAGGAUUAGAUACCCUGGUAGUCCACGCCGUAAACGAUGAGCGCUAGGUGUUAGGCCCUUUCCGGGGCUUAGUGCCGGAGCUAACGCAAUAAGCACUCCGCCUGGGGAGUACGACCGCAAGGUUGAAACUCAAAGGAAUUGACGGGGGCCCGCACAAGCGGUGGAGCAUGUGGUUUAAUUCGAAGCAACGCGAAGAACCUUACCAGGUCUUGACAUCCCGAUGCUAUUCUUAGAGAUAGGAAGUUACUUCGGUACAUCGGAGACAGGUGGUGCAUGGUUGUCGUCAGCUCGUGUCGUGAGAUGUUGGGUUAAGUCCCGCAACGAGCGCAACCCUUAUUGUUAGUUGCCAUCAUUAAGUUGGGCACUCUAGCGAGACUGCCGGUAAUAAACCGGAGGAAGGUGGGGAUGACGUCAAAUCAUCAUGCCCCUAAUGACCUGGGCUACACACGUGCUACAAUGGUCGGUACAACGAGUUGCGAGCCGGUGACGGCAAGCUAAUCUCUGAAAGCCGAUCUCAGUUCGGAUUGGAGGCUGCAACUCGCCUCCAUGAAGUCGGAAUCGCUAGUAAUCGCGGAUCAGCACGCCGCGGUGAAUACGUUCCCGGGCCUUGUACACACCGCCCGUCACACCACGAGAGUUUGUAACACCCGAAGU